GAUGAGUUGUAUACAAGUGUAUGAGUGAUUCAGAUGUUUCCAAAAUGGCCAUAAAAAUGUCGAUAGUGAGGAACGUUCUGGAAGUCCUGCAACCAGCAGAACUGAGAAAAACAUUGCAGAUGUGCGUGCAGCUA